CCAGCUUUGUCUGUUCAUGUGAGAUGUAUUUAUUUUACUAUAGUAUCAUAAUCAUAUUAACUGUGUGUAUUGUUCAGUAACCAGCUGUGGCAGAGACUUUUGGCAGGUUAGACCUUUUUAUCACAUUUUUGUACCUCUUGACCCAAUUUCUUUCAGAAGUUGGUUUACGGGACCUCAGACUGACCAUGUACACCCUACAAACUUAUGUCACAUUUCAUUACCUUGAUGCCCCCUUUACUAGAGAUUUUAAAAAUUAAAAUGUCCCCAAUCGAUUUAGAACUGCCCUUUUGUCAGAUCUAUGUUCUGUCCCCAUUGGGUGCUGUAAAAGGGAGGUAAGCCAAUUUUAUAUUUUUUCCGAGAAAAACCUCAACUGGGGAAAAAGCAGGAAAAGAAAAAGUUGAUGGAAGGUACCAUUUUUCUUCUUCUCUGUGUUAUAGCAUUAUUAACCUUCUGUAGUAUUAUCUGAAUUUUUAAACGUGUAUUAGUGUUAAUCCUUCAUUUGAUUCUUAAGGAGAAUGACCUUUGACCUCUCUUUUAUAUACCUCCCUCAAUGAAGAGUUCCAGUUUUGGAGUCGGUGGAAGGGCCAGUGGAUCCAUACUGCUUUGUGGAGUUCUACGACCAUAGCUCAGCUGCUGCCGCCCUUGCCGCCAUGAAUAAAAGAAUGUGCCUAGGAAGGGAGAUGAAAGUGAAUUGGGCCACAUCCCCUAGUAACACUCCCAAACAAGACACCAGUAAACAUUUUCACAUAUUUGUUGGAGAUUUGAGUCCAGAUAUUGAGACCUCACAGCUGAGAGAAGCUUUCAAAGUCUUUGGUGAUAUCUCAGACUGCAAGAUCAUCAGAGAUCCCCAGACACUGAAAUCCAAAGGCUAUGGCUUUGUGUCCUAUGUCAAUAAAGUGGAUGCGGAGACGGCCAUCAGUAACAUGAAUGGGCAGUGGCUUGGAAGUCGACCAAUCAGAACUAACUGGGCCACCCGAAAACCUCCAGCCCCUAUACCAAAAGAAUCCCAAAUAAAACAGCUGUCUUAUGAGGAAGUUUAUAGUUUAUCAAGUUCUACAAACUGUACAGUGUAUUGUGGUGGCAUUGGACCAGGGGUCACAGAAGAGGCAAUAAAAAGUGCAUUUAACACCUAUGGAACUAUUCAAGAAAUCCGAGUGUUUAAGGAAAAGGGUUAUGCAUUCAUCAGGUUUUCCAACAAAGAAUCCGCGACAAAGGCCAUCUGUGGAGUGAAUGGGACAGUCAUAGGAGAAAACAUGGUAAAGUGCUCCUGGGGGAAAGAGUCUAACGAUCCAAACCAAUCUGGAGGAGGAGGAGGAGGUGGGGCAGGAUCCCCCUCACAAAUGUCUCAGUCUGCGUCCCAGCCCCCCUCCCAGUACGGGGGACAGUACUACAACAUGGGCUAUGGUUACCCAGCAGCUUACCCCUCCUAUGUGCCCCAGCAGCAGUACAUGCCCCAGGGAUAUGGCUAUGGCAAUGGCGGAUACCAGAUGCAGGGAAUGCAACCUUAUGGAAUGGUCCCACCAGGAAGUCAGCAGCAGUUUCCUGGACAGGGAGGUAUGAUGGGAUAUCCCAUGCAGCAAGGGCUCGGUAGUGUGAUGGCAUUAAGUUAUGUCAAGUCCAGCCCCUGAACACCUGUCAAUCAACAUGCCAGGGAGUGAAAGCAUGAUGGGAAAAGCCAGCUGCAUAUCAUUAAGAUCAUAGCAAGCUCCAAACAUCUUUGGCUGUUAUAAACAGGACAGUUUUAUUUGUAAGAAUGUGAUUGGUGCGUUCCUGGUAUCCUAGGAGAUGAACACCCUCCAUGUAGAAAUCAUUUUAAAUGAUGAAAAAAAAAAUCCUGUACAGAAAUAAUGACUUGUAAAUAUUUGAUAAUGGUUGGUUGCGUCUACAAAUUACAGACCUAGAUUAUUGUCUGUUGUGUAAUCUGGGUCACACCCAAUUUGCUCAUGUUGAGGAAAUGGAGUUUGUGUCAUGGUGGCCAUUUUUACAGACAUACAACGAAAAGAUUCAAACAGAAACUGUUACUGCAUCGUCUGGAUUAUGUUAACUGUAGACAUUUUGGGAGGAUAAUGGUAAAGUAAUGCACAAGUUAGGAAAAAAAAAACUCACAGGUUUUAGUAUGAAUGAGGGCACACUGGCUGUUUCUCCAUCAAUCUAUUAGGUAUUUAUUACUCCUUGGCAUUGUUUUAACUUCAAUGGUUAUUUUUUCCCUUUCGUUUUGUUUUGUUUAGGUUUUUUUUUUUUUUAAAUACCUGUAUAUAAAUGAAAACUGUUAAGUUUCUGUGUUAUACAAUAUAUGACAAAAGAAUAUAAAAUAGUUUUUUUUUUCAAAGAUAUAUUUUUUCCCCAUUUGUAAUGAAAACUUUUUGUAUUAAAGUCACUUCAGUCAUUAAAUUUGGAUCUAAAAUUUAAGAUAUUGAAAAGGUAUAUGACUUAUAGUAGUUGCUAGGUCGUCUAUUAGAGCAGUGAUGAAAUGUUAGUGUACAUUUUUUAAAAUUCUUUACUGGACAUCAAUUUUUGUGAGAGACUUUAUGAUAAUUUAGCUUUAGAAAUGAAUUUAUAUAAAUUUCAGUCAUGCUCAAUCCAAGAAGUAUUUUUAAUACGACCCAACGCAGUGAUAGUAUUAAUGUCUUGUAUUAGUUCUGUUGUGUUCAGGUUUACAUUUUAAGUUGCUUUUCCUACAAUAGAAAUAUUUCAAGAAACAGAGCAAUAUUUUCUUUAUUUUCAGUAAGAAGUGAAUUUGGGUACUUGUUAUGGUAUUUUUAAAGAAGUAGAAAAUGAAAAAUAUUUUUGACAGUGCCAACUCAAAACUUUUGACCUCUCGUUUUGUAUAGUGAGAUAAUCUAAACACUGUUAAAAGAACUCUGGUAGAUGUAUGUACAGUUAUUUGCAUAAUUGAGGAGUAAUUGCAUUCCAGAUAGUUCCAGGGGAAAAUGUAAGAAUGAUUGUGUAAACAUGUCUCAAGUUAGAAAAGCCCCCCCUCUGGGGAGAAAAGUAGCAUCUUUUAUGUUUCAUGGAUGUGGAGGGAAAUUUAGGCCUUGUAAAUAAAUCAUUGUAGCUUCAGAGUUCUCAUAGUUGUAGUCAGAGAAGAAUAUAUGUCAUUUCUCUACCCAUUCUGUGUAUCGUUCAUCAUCGUGUCACAGAGUAGAUCAUUAUGAUGUGAAGUGUAUAUUGGGUUUUUAUUGUCCAUGAUUCGUGUACAUUACGUGUAAAGAUAAUUUAUUUAACCUGUUAGAUUAUGUACCAGAGUCAGGAUUUUACCCCUUGUUCCACCUUGGAAGUUGUCACCUUGUGUUUGUCUAGUGUAGAUCAUGCAAUAAGAUGUCAGGAUAGGGUCAUUUUGAAUGUUUUAGGUUUUGAAAUGUUACAAAAAAUUUAUAUUUUUAUACAGCAUUUCAGGCAGAAAUACAAAGAAUUUUUUUUUUUAAAAAUGAUUUUAUUUGUUAAGGUGAUGUGAAAUGGUUUGUGCAUAUCGCUGUGUUUACAAUCCAGUUUUGUAAGUUGGGGAGAUGAUACACCUGGUCCUAUAGUCUAAAGUUAUGCAUAUUUAUGUAUUCCAUGUAAAUUGUACGUACCAUCGUAGAUAUGGCAGUUUAAUGUCAGACAAUGCCUUAAGCUUAUACCAUUGUGGAUGUGAACACGGCCAGGUGCACACGUCAUCAUUGUCUUAUGUCACGUGACCUGCUGUAAUCAUCGUAACAUGAAUAAAAACAACCAUCAUCCAAA